GUUAAUUGAGAGCUGUCAGCUCAUCACCCUGUGACAUACCUAUAACGUUGCCUCGGCGGGAACAGACGGCCCCGUAACACGGGCCGCCCCCGCCAGAGGACCCCCUAACUCUGUUUCUAUAAUGUUUCUUCUGAGUAAACAAGCAAAUAAAUUAAAACUUUCAACAACGGAUCUCUUGGCUCUGGCAUCGAUGAAGAACGCAGCGAAAUGCGAUAAGUAAUGUGAAUUGCAGAAUUCAGUGAAUCAUCGAAUCUUUGAACGCACAUUGCGCCCGCCAGUAUUCUGGCGGGCAUGCCUGUUCGAGCGUCAUUACAACCCUCAGGCCCCCGGGCCUGGCGUUGGGGAUCGGCGGAAGCCCCCUGCGGGCACAACGCCGUCCCCCAAAUACAGUGGCGGUCCCGCCGCAGCUUCCAUUGCGUAGUAGCUAACACCUCGCAACUGGAGAGCGGCGCGGCCACGCCGUAAAACACCCAACUUCUGAAUGUUGACCUCGAAUCAGGUAGGAAUACCCGCUGAACUUAAGCAUAUCAAAGUGGGGAAGGAAAAACGUUACGGGAGUUAUACAACGCAUAACCCUGUGAAGCAUACCUAUCAGAUGGCUCGGCUGGAACAGACGCCCCGUGAGAGGGGCCGCCCCGCGGAGGGACCGUUAUAUAUUUUGUCGUUUAGGUUUCUCCUGGAGUAAACAGCACAUAAAUGAAAACUUUCACAACGGACUUGGGCUCUGCAUGAUAAGAAGCACGCAGUGCGAUCAGUAAUGUGAAUUGCGAAAUCAUGAAUCACUACUUUUGAAGCAAUUGUGACCGCGGUAUUCUGGCGGGGAUGUCGAUUCAGGGUCAUACACCUUAGCCCGGCCGGGGCUUGUGGAAGUGAGAGAUCCCCGAGGAAACCCUCCCCCCAAAUAAGAGUGCGUUCCCCCCGCAGUCUACCUCGGGUAAACUAUAAGCUCCCACUUGGAAAAGCGGCGCCCGACC
rnacentral:rRNA from 1 species